AACCACCCCGCCCCCUUCUCCCCGUCGCGCCCCUCCCUUUCCCUCAUGCCCCAGCCGUCGCUGCCGCUCCCCGCGCCCCCUGCACCACCACCGCCAUGCCAUCGCACACCUCCCAUCCCCCCGAGUGCCAUGGCUAGAGCCCAGAGAAUCCUCGUAGCGCCACAGCCGCUCGCUGUCCCGCUCCCAGGAGGCUCCUGUGGCCCGCCUGCCCGGCGCCCCGGCAGCAGUCCUGCCCACCGGCGUGCAGGAGGCAGCAUGGGGAGGGCGGAGGAGUUCACCGGCUCACCUUCAAGCCACAGCGGCGGAUCUGUCCUCUAGCGACAGCCGCAGACGCCAAGGUCGUUGACGCCGGGCAGGGGGUCAUGGGAAAAUGUGUGUGCCUUCUUCCUAGCGUGCGCAUGACAGGAGGAGUGCGACCCUCCUCUUGUGCCGCUGGCUGGCGAACGAUGCAUCCAGGGUGGCCUCUUCGGCUCUCAGCUCUGGACUGGGAACGCUGGAUGUCGUGUGCACAUUAAUUUUUCUACACUGACCACUUGGUGUUGCUGAUGGCGCAAAUUGCAAAGGAUGGCCAGGUUGAGCAUCUCAAAGUAGAAAUCUCGGAGCUGCACAAGUGUGAGUCGCUGGAAUUGAUCGAGCAGAGGGACACAAAGACAAGGGAGAAGGAUGGUGUCGUUCAGAGCUACCAUUAAAAUAUAGACAAAUUUACAAACAAUUCUUAUGAUUUUGUGGUUGUAUAUAAAGUUCCAUAUACACGGAUCUCCACUCAUCUGGUAUGAUUCCAAGUUAGACAAAUAUCGAAGCAAUUUCUGUUAAAAUUUUCCUGAUGAACAUACUAUUAUCCAUGCCCUUUUUACACGAGGUUGAAUCUUAAAUGUUGGGUGCUUUGUCCAAGUUGAGAUCCGCCACUGAUGACACGAGUCUGCUACCUUGCUCCUUUGAAGAUAACCAAAGGCCCGCACCUCCCACCAUGAGAUCCUCUCCCAGCUUGCACCUUUUCAUGUCUCAAGGAAUGAGAUGGAUGCGUUGUUCAUGCUCUAUGAGAAGAUGAUCUGCUCUAUCAGUGACAAUGAACUCAUCCAAUUGGAGGGUAAGAUAAAGAGGAGGCAUGGUGAAGAGGAGAAGUGGAAGAAGGCCAUCAACUAUGCACCUACUGGCUCAUCCUCGCCUGGGUACUAUCGUGCAGGAAGUUUCUAAUAAGUGAAAGAGGGAUGCAUGAUGGGCAAUAUAGCGCGGUGGAUGUCACUUUAUAAUAAGUUGGAUUUGUGAUCAAGCAGGCAGCAUCGACACUAGACGAGGCGUCCUUACACUGCAACACUAUCUAAACUUUGAUGCCUUCCAUGAUGUACAACAAGAUCGUGCUCCGAAGUCGUGAGGUGGUGACAAAGCAGUGCUAAAGAUAGUCCCCUGCUAGAUGUGAAAACAAGAAGGCUGCAUCUUCAUCGCCAUGAGUCAGAUACCCGGAGCUCAGGACGUGCCUAAGUAGUCUUACAUCCUAAAAUCACAAACUUGUUGUGAGAUUUCCAACAAUCAUAUGUGUCUUGGGCGAUUACACCCUGAUAAUUUUUUUUAAAUCACAAGUAAAGAUUAUAUUUAGUUUCCUAUAUUCUUUGCCUGCUUAGUUGCUAUGAAAUUUUUCAAUGUCAGAUUACUAUCUACACCUAUAUGCUUUUCAUCGAAGUAUGAUGGUUAGCUUGAAUUAUGCCA